CAGGCUGUAGAGGAGAUGAUGCAGAGAAUAAAGAGAGGAAUUCAACUUCGACCAGUCAACCAGUCCCCCAACAGGAAUGAACCAAAGAUGGAGAGGCUGCCCUCUAAUUCUGCCAUUCAAGAACUUAAAGGAAUCAUGGAGAACUUCAACAAAGCUCGGCCUCCACCGAAAGCUGUGCCGCCUUCUGUGAACCCAGAUGAGGAGCUGCAGAGGAUUCUGCUGAGAAGGAGGGAUGCCC